rnacentral:rRNA from 1 species
CUCUGUGACUCUACGGGAGGCAGCAGUGGGGAAUAUUGCACAAUGGGCGCAAGCCUGAUGCAGCAACGCCGUGUGAGUGAAGAAGGUUUUCGGAUCGUAAAACUCUGUCCUAAGGGAAGAAACAAAUGACGGUACCUUAGGAGGAAGCCCCGGCUAACUACGUGCCAGCAGCCGCGGUAAUACGUAGGGGGCAAGCGUUAUCCGGAAUCACUGGGCGUAAAGGGUGCGUAGGCGGCUUAGCAAGCCAGGGGUGAAAGGCAUUGGCUCAACCAAUGUAAGCCUUUGGAACUGUUAGGCUUGAGUGCAGGAGAGGUAAGUGGAAUUCCUAGUGUAGAGGUGAAAAUUCGUAGAUAUUAGGAGGAACACCAGUGGCGAAGGCGACUUACUGGACUGUAACUGACGCUGAUGCACGAAAGCGUGGGUAGCGAACAGGAUUAGAUACCCUGGUAG